GUUUCUGGAGUGCAGACAUUACAUACAAAUUGUAAGAAUGCUUGUGGAUCUAGAUAAUUUUGAAGUUCCAACUAACAAUAUUUCAUUACUCUAUAGACCACGAUGUGUGAUGCAAGGGGCAAAUAAUACUGAAGAUGCUCUGUCUCUGCUUGGAAAUGAUUCCAGAUCAUGACAGUGACAGUUUUUAUGAGAGCAUGCCUUGUGGUGACCUAUUCAAAGUUCUACAGGUCAACAGAUCCACCUAGACUCAGAUCGAUUUGAAACACACUGAAAGGGCAGCCGAAGCAUCGGCCCGCAUGCACAGAAGUCCCUCGUGGAACUGGCUGGUUCUCAGGAAGCUCUGGCUCCCAAUGACCAAGUAGGACACACAAGUCUGUCUCUCUGAGCAAACAUGGCCAAGUCAGGAACUGCAAAAUUUGGUCUCUAUCAAAAAAGUCCCCGGACAGCCUGAAACUCAUUUCGAACCGUUUCAGGGAGGACCCUUUCGAGGAACAUGACUGGCCUCGCACAGCACAUUUAAAAUAACAACCUUCCAUGAAGCUGUGAACACGAGGGAAAACAUUUCUCCCAAAUGUUUGUAACCAACUUCCAACAGAGCAUUGCCUUAUGCAGCUGCCCUGGCUGAAACACUGCUUUCGUUCCAUGAGGAGCUAUGGGACCUCCUGCAGACAGAGGCAGGCUCCCAGGGCACGGCCCUUUGCAGCUUUUUUAGGAGCAAGAUGGAGUGAGAAUUCUCCACGUCAUUUGUAAUAUUCUUUGGCUCUGUUUCAUUAAAACAUGUACUAGAAUGAAAAUAAUGGUAAGAUGAAUAUGGGUUUACUACUGAAAUUCCAUUCUUCCUUUAAAAAAUUAAUUAUGAGCACUUACUAGAUGCCAGGCACUGUUAUGGGUGCUGGUGAUAAGUUAACUGUAAGGUGUGUCUGUUCUCAUGAAGGUCACAUUCUGAUAUGGAGAGAAAGAGUUAGCAAGAAACUACACAUGAACAAGAGCAUGUUAGCUUGUGCUGGGUUGUAUGAAGACCUGCGUCGAGGGGUACGGAAGGAAGUGAGGGGCUGGGGCGUGUGUGCGGUUGAAAGAGCAGCCAGCAUUUCCCUGAGGGGAGUAUCUCAUGAUGUGAAAAUGACAUAAAGUUCAAAAUUUAGCAUCCAUAAAGUUUCUGUGGAACUUGGCCAUGUUUAUGUGUUGUCUAUUGCUAAUUUGUGCUUAUAACAGUGAAGUUGAGUCAUUGCAAUAGAGAUAGUAUGGCCUGUAGAGCCAUUUUCACUUUACUUUUCUUUUUUUAUAUUUUUACCUUUACUGUGUGGUUCUUUACAGAAAUAGUUUUCUGAUCUGGUCUAGAUUUAAGAAAAUCAGAAGGCAAUGUUAAGAAUGCAGAUAUUUAAAUGUUAAAAUCAAGAGUGUUGUGUCUUUUAGUGUUAUGUUAUGAAUAGCACAAAAAUUGGGAAAAAUAUUCUCCCAGUAUUCAAAAACUAUUGUCCAAUUCAACAAAUAAAUCUCUGACAUCUUUACCAAACAAGUAAAGAUCUGGCAUACUUCUAUGUUGCUUCACUUUUUUCUUAAUCAAGAUAAACAAAAUUAUCAACUGACUUUCAUGAUGUGAGUGAUUUCUUUGCUGAAUCAGACAGUAAUCAAGCAUUAUUCCUAGCCUGAUUUUAUUGACACUAUUGCUAGAAAUAGUAUAAAAACAGAGAGUGGAGGACUGACGUCAGGGAGGAUGGUAGAAUAGGAAUCUCCAGAAAUCCACUUCUCCACCCCAUGACAACUGUCCUCUCCGAAUCUGUCUGAUGUAACUAUUUUGGAACUCUUGAGUCCAUUCAAAAGCUUUCAGCUUCCAGGGGAGGCUUGGCCUGUAAACUGAGGUUAAUUUCAGUCAAUGUCAGCUCUCAGUAGGGUGAUGGCUACAAGGUCCCAGCCCCCAGCCCCCAUAGCAGGCAGCCAUGCCAACAUUCCUGAAGUAGCUCCUGGGAACCAGAGUAGCCAAGAAUGACCUUGCCCCUCAGAUAUUGGGGGCCUGUGUUCUGAUCUCUGAUUGCUGUUUCUGAUCAUAAAGUUGCAGACCCAGAAGUGGGCAACCACUGUUGCAAGACACAUCCAUUGACAGCAGUGUCUUCCAAUGGAUUUAAAGAAACAGAGCCUAUUUCUCUCACCUUCAUUUUCUCCUUUUUUCCCUUUUGGGAGCCUGACAUUUAAGGAUUAGGACAUUUAAAAGCAACCACAUGUGUGGGGCAAUUUACAAAGUCACUACACAUGCCCAAGGGAAAGACACAGGCUCAGAAAAAAAAUCUGAGGAGGUCUUAAGUUUAUGCCUCAGGCUAUUCCCAGGCAGAGAUACCCUAUGAGAAUGUUUUUAAGCAAACCCUGGGGAAGGAGGAGAAUCUAUUUCCAGAGUUACCACAUUAUAAAAUUCAAAUGUUCAGUUUUAAAUAAAAAAUUACAAUACACUCAACGAACAGGCAAAUACAGGCCCAUUCAAGGGGGAAAAAAAAAGAAAAUACCUAUGAGGAAGAUCAGAUGGCCAACUUACCAGAAGAAGACUUUAAAACACUGUCUUAAAGAUUCUCAAAGAGCUAUAAACUAAGAUAUAGACAAAUUCAAGAAACUGAUGUACAAACAAAAUGUAAAUAUCAAAGACAUAGAAAACAAAACAAGAAGGAUUUUGGAGCUGAAAAUUGCAAUAACUGAAAUGAAAAAUUCACUAGAGAGAUUCAAAAGUGGAUUUGACCAGGCAGUAGAAAGAUAAGUGAAUUUAAAGGAAAAACCCCCAAAAUAUCAAGUCUGAAAAACACAAAGAAAAGAGACUGAAGAAAAGUGAACAGAGCCCAAGGGACCUGCAGGAUGUAUCAAGCAGACUGACACAUGCACUGUGGGAGUCUCAUAAGGAGAAGAGAGAGAGAGGGGCAGAGAGAUUAUUUGAAGAAGUAAUGGCCAAAAACUUCCUGAAUAUGAUGCAAGAUAUGAAUCUACAAACCCAAGAAGCUUGAAGCUGGAUGAAUUGCAGGUAUGAUAAACUUAAAAGAGACCCCCAGAGAGACACAUUAUAAUCAAACUGUGAAAAGAGGAAGAGAUAAUCUUGAAGAUUUCAAGAGAGAAGUGACCUGUCACAUGCAAGGCAUCCUCAUAGAUUUAAAAAGAUAAAUAUUAUACAAAAUUUCUUCUCCAGCCAUAAUUAGAUGAAAUUAGAAAUCACUAACAAAAUGAAAAAGUGGAAAAUUCACAAAUAUGUGGAAAUUAAAUAACACACUCUUAAUAAUUAAUGAGCCAAAGAUGAAAUAACCAGGGAAAUUAGAAAAUAUUUAGAGAUGAAUGAAAACAAAUCACAACAUAUCAAAACUUACUGGAUAUAGCAAAAGCAGGGCUAAGAAGGAAAUAUAUAGCUGUGAAAACUUACAUUUAAAAAGAAGAUUCCAAAUCAACAACCUGAUUUUAUACCUUAAGCAACUAGAAAAGAACAAACUAAACCCAAAGCCAAUGGAAGGAAGGAAUAAUCAAGGUUAGAAACAGAGAUAAAAUAGAGACUAG
ensembl:lncRNA